GCCUCCAUUUAGCUCAGCUGCUUGGAGGAAAAACAGCCUUCCAGGAUGAGCUAUCUCCUCUGUAGGGUGCUGCCCUGCUCUUUGGAUGAGACUUCUGCUCCAGUCUCUAAGGUCUGAGUCUUGUGCAAUAUUUAAGAAAAUGGAUUUCUGCAGCUUUAAUAUUUUCUUACUGGGAGGAAACAAAAGGCAAAUAAUGUGAUUGUUUGUCAAGGAGCAAAACCUUCCCUCACAAAAUGUUUAUAGAACGUGAGAUGUUGUUGGGAGAUGAUACACCUAGUUCUGAGAAGUGCUGAAUACAAUCCAUGAACUUCUAACCAGACCUGACCAGCCAAGAUUCUACCUCUUCCCAACACUUUUGUUUGACAUUUGCCCAGAAAUAGGGUUCUGUUACAAUGAAAUGAAAAUAUGUUUGUUGGACAAGAAGAGGAUGUUAGGGUGGUUUUUUUGCCACAAACUUUUGAUGUGCAUGUAUUCUGGAGGGGGUGAGGAAAUGAAUAGAGCCUUGGAUUUUUCUGGUGUGUGUUUGUCUUCCAACAGUUUUAUUUCCAGAAGUUAAUUUUCCCGUAUUUUUCAGGAUAAUGUGAAGCAGAUAAGCUCAUGCAUAGUGUAAGAAAAUGAAAGUAAUUCCAAAAUAUCUGGCAGAGACAUUUUAAUCCUAAUUAAAACUGAAGGAGGAAAGAGACAAAAUUAAAUGUAUUUUAUAGUCCUGACUUAUGCCCCAUCAAAGAGAUUUUUUUUUUUCCAUUCUAGGAUGUCCCUGCAUAAUUUCUAAUCAGCCUUUCAGCCUUCACCAUGAGUGACAGAGCAAGGAGGAGAAUGUCUGCCAGUGUCUUGGGAGAAUUUAUUUAAGGUUCUCCUGAGCUGUGGAAGGGAUUUGUCAUUGUCAAUAUCAGCAAUGCAGCUGAUCAGCACCCUGGUCAGUCUUGUCAUCAGAAGAGGAAAUAGAGUACGUGUAUGUGACAGAUAAAGAGAGAGUGAGAGAGAAUUUGCUUCACAGAAAAAUAAUAUUCAUUCUAGCCAUUUGUGUCUGUGUGUAUUCUAGCUGUUUUUACACUAA